ACGGGAGGCAGCAGUGGGGAAUAUUGGGCAAUGGGCGAAAGCCUGACCCAGCAACGCCGCGUGAAGGAAGAAGGUUUUCGGAUUGUAAACUUCUUUUAUCAGGGACGAAGAAAGUGACGGUACCUGAUGAAUAAGCCACGGCUAACUACGUGCCAGCAGCCGCGGUAAUACGUAGGUGGCAAGCAUUAUCCGGAAUUACUGGGUGUAAAGGGAGCGCAGGCGGGACAGCAAGUCAGCGGUGAAAUGUAUGGGCUCAACCCAUGAACUGCCGUUGAAACUGUUGUUCUUGAGUGGAGUAGAGGUAGGCGGAAUUCCGAGUGUAGCGGUGAAAUGCGUAGAUAUUCGGAGGAACACCAGUGGCGAAGGCGGCCUACUGGGCUCUAACUGACGCUGAGGCUCGAAAGUGUGGGGAGCAAACAGGAUUAGAUACCCUGGUA
rnacentral:rRNA from 1 species